UACAGAGGGUGCAAGCGUUAAUCGGAAUUACUGGGCGUAAAGCGCGCGUAGGCGGUUUGAUAAGUCGGAUGUGAAAGCCCCGGGCUCAACCUGGGAAUUGCAUUCGAUACUGUCAGACUAGAGUAUGGUAGAGGUAAGUGGAAUUCCAGGUGUAGCGGUGAAAUGCGUAGAUAUCUGGAGGAACAUCAGUGGCGAAGGCGACUUACUGGACCAAUACUGACGAUGAGGUGCGAAAGCGUGGGGAGCAAACAGG
rnacentral:rRNA from 1 species